UACGUAGGGUGCAAGCGUUGUCCGGAAUUAUUGGGCGUAAAGAGCUCGUAGGCGGUCUGUUGCGUCGGCUGUGAAAACCCGAGGCUCAACCUCGGGCCUGCAGCCGAUACGGGCAGACUAGAGUUCGGCAGGGGAGACUGGAAUUCCUGGUGUAGCGGUGAAAUGCGCAGAUAUCAGGAGGAACCCCGGUGGCGAAGGCGGGUCUCUGGGCCGAUACUGACGCUGAGGAGCGAAAGCGUGGGGAGCGAACAGG
rnacentral:rRNA from 1 species